CCUACGGGAGGCAGCAGUGAGGAAUAUUGGUCAAUGGACGGGAGGCUGAACCAGCCAAGUAGCGUGAGGGACGACUGCCCUAUGGGUUGUAAACCUCUUUUAUAAGGGAAGAAAACAUGCUACGCGUAGCCUGUUGCAUAUACCUUAUGAAUAAGCAUCGGCUAACUCCGUGCCAGCAGCCGCGGUAAUACGGAGGAUGCGAGCGUUAUCCGGAUUUAUUGGGUUUAAAGGGUGCGUAGGCGGUUUUUUAAGUCAGUGGUAAAACUUCGGGGCUAAACCUUGAAUUGCCAUUUAAACUGGAAGUCUUGAGUUCAGAAGAGGUAGGCGGAAUUCGUGGAGUAGCGGUGAAAUGCUUAGAUAUAACGUAGAACUCCGAUUGCGAAGGCAGCUUACCGGACUGCAACUGACGCUGAUGCACGAGAGUGUGGGUAUCGAACAGGAUUAGAUACCCGGGUAGUC
rnacentral:rRNA from 1 species